AAUGACUCUCAGGAAUGGAUAUCUCAACUGUCACAUCGAUGAAGAAUGUACCGAAAUGCGAUACUUGGUGUGAAUUGCAAAAUCUUGUGAACCAUCGUCUUUGAAUUAAAAUUGUGCCCCAGGCCUUACGAUCGAGGGUAUGUCUGCCUGGGCGUCACGC
rnacentral:rRNA from 1 species